rnacentral:rRNA from 1 species
UACGGAGGAUGCGAGCGUUAUCCGGAUUUAUUGGGUUUAAAGGGUGCGUAGGCGGAACAAUAAGUCAGUGGUGAAAUUCUGCAGCUUAACUGUAGACUUGCCGUUGAUACUGUUGGUCUUGAGUAUGGUCAAGGCAGGCGGAAUGUGUAAUGUAGCGGUGAAAUGCUUAGAUAUUACACAGAACACCGAUUGCGAAGGCAGCUUGCUGGGCCAUUACUGACGCUGAUGCACGAAAGCGUGGGGAUCGAACAGGAUUAGAUACCCUGGUAGUCCACGCAGUAAACGAUGAUCACUCGCUGUUGGCGAUACACAGUCAGCGGCUAAGCAAAAGCAUUAAGUGAUCCACCUGGGGAGUACGGCCGCAAGGCUGAA